rnacentral:rRNA from 1 species
GACAGAGGGGGGCAAGCGUUGCUCGGAAUUACUGGGCGAAAGGGCGCGUAGGGCGGGAUGCAAGUCGGUCGUGAAAUCCCUCAGGCGUCAACCGAGGAACGUCGAUCGAUACUGCUGUUCUUGAGGAUUGCAGACGGAGACUGGAAUUCCCGGAUGUAGCGGUGAAAUGGUGUGAGAGAGUCGGGGAGGAACGACCGGUGGCGAAGGCGGGUCUCUGGGCAAUUCCUGGACGCUGAGGCGGCGAAAGCCGUGGGGAGCAAACGGG